rnacentral:misc_RNA from 1 species
UCCGGUUUGUCACCGGCAGUCUCAUUAAAGUGCCCAACUAAAUGAUGGCAAUUAAUGACAAGGGUUGCGCUCGUUGCGGGACUUAACCCAACAUCUCACGACACGAGCUGACGACAGCCAUGCAGCACCUGUGUUACGGCUCCCUUUCGGGCACUUCCAGCUUUCACUGGCGUUCCGUACAUGUCAAGAGUAGGUAAGGUUUUUCGCGUUGCAUCGAAUUAAUCCACAUCAUCCACCGCUUGUGCGGGUCCCCGUCAAUUCCUUUGAGUUUUAACCUUGCGGCCGUACUCCCCAGGCGGUCGACUUCACGCGUUAGCUACGGUACUAAAGAAGUCUCCUUCCCCAACACCUAGUCGACAUCGUUUAGGGCGUGGACUAC